rnacentral:rRNA from 1 species
GACGAACGCUGGCGGCGUGCUUAACACAUGCAAGUCGAACGAUGAAGCUGGAGCUUGCUCCGGUGGAUUAGUGGCGAACGGGUGAGUAACACGUGAGCAAUCUGCCCUUGACUCUGGGAUAACUGCGGGAAACUGUAGCUAAUACCGGAUACUUUCACUGGAAGGCAUCUUCUGGUGAAGAAAGAAUUUCGGUCAAGGAUGAGCUCGCGGCCUAUCAGCUUGUUGGUGAGGUGACGGCUCACCAAGGCGACGACGGGUAGCCGGCCUGAGAGGGUGACCGGCCACACUGGGACUGAGACACGGCCCAGGCUCCUACGGGAGGCAGCAGUGGGGAAUAUUGCACAAUGGGCGCAAGCCUGAUGCAGCAACUCCGCGUGAGGGAUGAAGGCCUUCGGGUUGUAAACCUCUUUUAGCAGGGAAGAAGCGAAAGUGACGGUACCUGCAGAAAAAGCACCGGCUAACUACGUGCCAGCCGCCGCAGUAA